rnacentral:tRNA from 1 species
GCGAAAGUGGCGGAAUGGUAGACGCGCUGGUCUUAGGAACCAGUGGCUUUGGCCGUGGGGGUUCGAAUCCCCCCUUUCGCA